GCCGGCAUGACGCAACGGUAGCGUAGCAGUUUUGUAAACUGCCUGUUGCAGGUUCGAAUCCUGUUGCCGGCUCCA
rnacentral:tRNA from 1 species